rnacentral:rRNA from 1 species
GACGAACGCUGGCGGCGUGCCUAAUACAUGCAAGUAGAACGCUGAAGGAGGAGCUUGCUCUUCUGGAUGAGUUGCGAACGGGUGAGUAACGCGUAGGUAACCUGCCUGGUAGCGGGGGAUAACUAUUGGAAACGAUAGCUAAUACCGCAUAACAUUGACUAUUGCAUGAUAGUCAAUUGAAAGGUGCAAAUGCACCACUACCAGAUGGACCUGCGUUGUAUUAGCUAGUUGGUGGGGUAACGGCUCACCAAGGCUACGAUACAUAGCCGACCUGAGAGGGUGAUCGGCCACACUGGGACUGAGACACGGCCCAGACUCCUACGGGAGGCAGCAGUAGGGAAUCUUCGGCAAUGGACGGAAGUCUGACCGAGCAACGCCGCGUGAGUGAAGAAGGUUUUCGGAUCGUAAAGCUCUGUUGUAAGAGAAGAACGAGUGUGAGAGUGGAAAGUUCACACUGUGACG